rnacentral:lncRNA from 1 species
ACCGCUUACAAAGGCAGGCAGCAGAACCUAACCACCAACGCGGCUAUAGCCAGGACUGGGAAAGGAAGUUAUUGAAGCCUGGAUUUCCUGCCUUUGCUUGUAGCCAAGAACUAUGAGGCUUGUAGUGGUUUCAGGAACUGACUCAUCUCAUGAUUCAUGGAUAAGAUACUGCUUUUAAUAUGUUUCUGACCCUAAGAUUCAGGAAAAUCAAAACCAGUCUGAACCUAUGCUUCACUCUUAUUUGCAAAUGAAUAUUCACAGCAAAAUAAACAGGAGGACAACGGUUACCGAAACAAUGAAAACAUCAUGCCAGUGGCAGGAAAAGUGGAAUGCAGGCAUCACAUGGGAAGCCGUCAUCAAAGCUUAAUCCAUGGGCUGCGACUUAACAGCGUUUCAACUUCCCAAAAGUGGAUAACAGGUCACAGGAAGAGCCAUAGCAGAGGAUUCCCAACCAGGACUUCCUUCCACACGAGCUAGAAGUGGAGAGACCAAGACCCAGCACUUGGAGGACCCUCAAAUGCCUUCUCCCAGUGAACCACCCCAACAAGGUAACAGUUCUCCACCAGAGUUCUCAACAACAAAGUCUAGACGCCAUUGUUUUGGUCAGAGCUGAAACACUGGACUGAACACCUCCACUCCUGCCCGAAGUCACUGCCUAAGGCACAUCACAAAAUAACUAAACAGUGGU